UUGAGCUUGGAUCCUGGCUCAGAUUGAACGCUGGCGGCAGGCCUAACACAUGCAAGUCGAGCGGAAACGAUGGAAGCUUGCUUCCAGGCGUCGAGCGGCGGACGGGUGAGUAAUGCAUGGGAAUCUGCCCGAUAGUGGGGGAUAACCUGGGGAAACCCAGGCUAAUACCGCAUACGUCCUACGGGAGAAAGCAGGGGAUCUUCGGACCUUGCGCUAUCGGAUGAGCCCAUGUCGGAUUAGCUUGUUGGUGAGGUAAUGGCUCACCAAGGCGACGAUCCGUAGCUGGUCUGAGAGGAUGAUCAGCCACAUCGGGACUGAGACACGGCCCGAACUCCUACGGGAGGCAGCAGUGGGGAAUAUUGGACAAUGGGCGAAAGCCUGAUCCAGCCAUGCCGCGUGUGUGAAGAAGGCCCUCGGGUUGUAAAGCACUUUCAGUGGGGAAGAAAGCCUUGGGAUUAAUACUCCCGAGGAAGGACUCACCCCA
rnacentral:rRNA from 1 species